rfam:TPA: Bos taurus chromosome 24, whole genome shotgun sequence.
UCCCUGAUGAUCCAGUGGAUAAAACUCUGCAUUCCUAAUGCAGGGGGCCUGGGUUCAACCCCUGUUCAGGGAA